rnacentral:rRNA from 1 species
CAGUGGGGAAUAUUGCACAAUGGGCGCAACCCUGAUGCAGCCAUGCCGCGUGUAUGAAGAAGGCCUUCGGGUUGUAAAGCACUUUCAGUAGGGAGGAAGGUAGUGUAGUUAACACCGGCAUUAUUUGACGUUACCUACAGAAGAAGCACCGGCUAACUCCGUGCCAGCAGCCGCGGUAAUACGGAGGUGCGAGCGUUAAUCGGAAUUACUGGGCGUAAAGCGCAUGCAGGCGGCCUGUUAAGUCAGAUGUGAAAGCCCGGGGCUUAACCUCGGAAUUGCAUUUGAAACUGGCAGGCUAGAGUCUUGUAGAGGGGGUAGAAUUUCAGGUGUAGCGGUGAAAAUGCGUAGAGAUCUGAAGGAAUACCAGUGGCGAAGGCGGCCCCCUGGACAAAGACUGACGCUCAGAUGCGAAAGCGUGGGGAGCAAACAGGAUUAGAUACCCUGGUAG